rnacentral:rRNA from 1 species
AGUGAACGCUGGCGGUAGGCCUAACACAUGCAAGUCGAACGGCAGCACAGUAAGAGCUUGCUCUUACGGGUGGCGAGUGGCGGACGGGUGAGGAAUACAUCGGAAUCUACUUUUUCGUGGGGGAUAACGUAGGGAAACUUACGCUAAUACCGCAUACGACCUACGGGUGAAAGCAGGGGAUCUUCGGACCUUGCGCGAUUGAAUGAGCCGAUGUCGGCUUAGCUAGUUGGCGGGGUAAAGGCCCACCAAGGCGACGCUCCGUAGCUGGUCUGAGAGGAUGAUCAGCCACACUGGAACUGAGGCACGGUCCAGACUCCUACGGGAGGCAGCAGUGGGGAAUAUUGGACAAUGGGCGCAAGCCUGAUCCAGCCAUACCGCGUGGGUGAAGAAGGCCUUCGGGUUGUAAAGCCCUAUUGUUGGGAAAGAAAAGCAGCAGGUUAAUACCCCGCUGUUCUGACGGUACCCAAAGAAUAAGCACCGGCUAACUUCGUG